rnacentral:siRNA from 1 species
CAAGUGCCUGAAUUGCGGGAGGUA